UUUUUUUUUUUUUUGUAAAGCUCUGAUCAUCCUCAAUGAAAGUUUGAAAAUAAUUAUUGUGGUAGACAUGAGGAAGUCCUACAUUUGUCAUUCCAUUAAAAAUACCUUAUGUAUGUACAUGACCUAAUGAGAAAAGUAAUAGAAGAUAAUUUACCAAAGGAAAAUGAAAUGGAUUUUUAUUUAUUUUAGUUAUUAUUCACAAACUUUGCAUCACUAUAUCAAAAACUUCAGCCUGUAAAGCCAUUUCAGUAUGAAGGAGCAAGUGGAGUUUUAUGCCUGAGGAAUGGUUGUAAUUAUGAACAAGGACCAAUUUUCAAAUUCAUAAGCAAAUUUAUAUGUGCUAUUAUCUUUCUUCUGUUAUGCAACUGUAUUUUUUUAAUGACACAAACAGCCUCAGUCUUGGCAAAACAUGAUCCCAGAUCUUUAAUGUCUAAGACAUUACCUUUGAUUUCAGUAUAGUUGGUGCUGAAAAUUUUACUACCACUGAAAAAUUUCUUUAUGUAUUACAUUAAAAAUUACUAAAUGAAAAUGCUAUUUCAAAAUAACACAAGACACAUAGCCAGCAUACCUUUCUUUCUGCCAUGGAAGAUCUUGCAGGGUCACGUUAUAGCCACAGUCACUGACAUGCUUCAAAGGCUACCAAUAUUAAUUUGGCAGCAGCAGCCAACCGUCAUACCAAAGCUGACUAAAAAUCCUUGUAUUUCUGCUGUAUUGUUUAAAGAAAUAGAACUGAAGGGUGAAAAAGAGGGAUUUUAAAUUGGAGCCACAUAUCCGCAGCUAUUGCCAAGUAACUUACAGGCAGCCCCACCCGUAAUGGCACAGGAAAUUUAUCAUUACCCUUGCAAAAAAAGCCUGAACAUGCAAAAUGCCAACAAAAACCUAAACAAAGGAAGAAUGAAAACUCAGGGUUAAACGUAGCAGGUUUAAGUUGUGGAAAUGUAUAUAAUUUUUUUUUAUUAUGAUGAUAAAAUGUGUGUGUUAAGAGGCUGCUCUUGCAAAUAAUAACAACAAUGAAUGAAUAAAGCACCAAGCAUAAUUGCCAAAUAAAGAAAAGAGUGAUAUUCAACAGAGGCAAAUGGUUCAGGAGGAAAGCAGUCUGUUCAAAAGAAGAUGAGAUGCAAUGGCUUCAACUGCAUACAGGCAAACAAAGUAUUUCUGCCUAAAUUUUCAGAUACACCCUUCUGUGAAAAGUUUAAACACAUCACAAAGAUGCAGGUUUAGUUUCGCAAAGGAGAGCACUCCUUCUGACACUGAGAUGGCCUCCAUGUUGCUAGAAAUGUUUUCUUUGCUCCUCCUUCAGGCUGUGGAUGUAAAAAUCAGCAUCCAGCUCAGUGUUAUCUUAAGUGGGGAGCACUCCCUUUGGGCAGGAGAAAAAGGGUGCAAGAAUAUGUAUGACUCCAUGGUGCUUAAGUACCAUGUAAUUGAAUUAAGUAAUUGAAUUCAGAAUAUAUGAGGUCCAAGUGAAACACUGGUUAAAAUGAUAUUAAAAAUAGACAUGGGCAUGUGUUUAAACACUUAGCUGAAUUUGCAAUUAUACAUAGCAUUUGGAGGAAGUUUAGCAAAAUUCCAAAAGCAACACUGAUGCUUUUAAUUAAAAAAAAACACCAUUAAUUAAAAUAAAAGCUAAUAGUUCAAAUAAAUACUAGAAACAGCCCAGAGAGAUUAAAAAAAAAAAUCUCCUCUUGAUAUCCUGUUCAAGACAUUUCCAGAUUACAGAAUCUUUCUUAUAAAUGGUUAAAAUUGCCUGCAGCAAUAUACCACUGUCUACCAAAACUCAGGUUUUUUAGUAAUUGUACAUAUAUACACACACAUUUAACACCAGACUUUGGAGGUGAGAUCACAAGUGCAUGGUACAGUAGUUUAUAACACCACUCAAGCACUGUGUGGCUGACACAUCUGAAGGACAGGAAGCCAUCCAGAGGGACCUGGACAAGCUCCAGAAAUGGUGCCAUGAGAAUUUUAAAAAAUGCACCAAAAAAAAAAAAAAAAAAAAAA
ensembl:lncRNA